rnacentral:rRNA from 1 species
GUCUAUGGCCAUACCACCCUGAACACGCCCGAUCUUGUCUGAUUUUAGAAGCUAAGCAGGGUUGGGACUGGUUAGUACUUGGAUGGGAAACCUCUUUGAGUAUCAGGGUUUUUAUUUUUU